ACACCCUGCACAUCCCCGCACAGGCACACACAGGCGGCUCACACACAUCCAUUUGCCGGAUGCAAAAGCCCACGGUUAAGUCCCCGGCUAGGCCAAAUCAAGAGAGAGCUCAUCUUACUACUCUGCGCUGGCCCGAGGUUUCGCGGGGUCCUGGCUAUGUUUGGUAAGCGCUGGCGUUGGGAGAUGCAGAGCGGAGACCUUGUCCGUGCCGGAAGACCUUUGGCUCCUUCAUGUAUUUAUUCGUUUCCUUUCCUUUUCUCUCUUUCACUGGUGUUUCUUCCUCUGCUGUCAAAAAAAAAAGGUAUCCAGACCCCCCUCCUGGAGCAUGUCCUGAAUCCAAUGCCUGUCCCCCCACACCCUGCCCAGACCAGGUCUCUACACUGUGUUCCUCGUCAAGGCUCACCGAGAAGGACCACAAUACAUCAUCACACUCCGAGGGCGCCUAAUGCUGCUGAUGGACCACCGCUGUGGGCAGGCUUCAUGGGAUCGGGACUGGAGGAACCGGUGUCUGACAAUGCAUACUUGGGUAGUGGUGGCUGGAUGUGAAGCCAGGGUGGGAAGUUUUCAUGAACCCCAAUGAGGUGCUGAAUACCCACUGCUCCCAUCAGCAAUCGGUGAACAUGGAGCAGGAUGUGACAGUCACCUGCCCGCAGGGUCUGUGCAUUUCUGCACAGAGACCCAACAGUGGCGAUACCUCCACUUGAAACACCCCUGUGAGACUGUCAGGCAACACUCAUUUGAGGUUGCUGUACUUGUUGGGAGCUGAUAGCGAGUCAUCUAAGGAUGGGAAACGCCUGCAGGAACCACCCCAUAGUGCCACGAGGUGGGAAGGGCUCCCAGGAGGUCCCAGUGGUGCUUCCCCGUGCCCUGAUGUCUGAGGUCCCCAGCUCCAACGACAAUGCCAGAAAUAGCCACUACAGCUGACGCGUCUGCUCUCUGUCCUGGGCUGCUUUGACUCUUUCUCUGUCUCAGCCAACAGCUCUCCUAAAUCCAUGCCGGGAACUUGGAUUUCCCUCUGCCCACCCCGGUCCCAAGGACAAACUGUUCCACGCUGCCACCAUUCAGAUAGCUCAGGAUGGGGGGUGUGGCAACAAAACCAUGAAGUCUGAUGUUCCUGAGGUGCCAAAGCAUUCUCUGUAGUGGCCACAACUUGGAGCAGCCCUCAGGAAGCCCCAGGGACCGAGCCUGCCACCCCCUCCCAGGACCAACAGUAGGGAGAGAGUCUGGAGUGCUUUUUCCUGCUUCUCACUUCUCUGCUGCAAUGUGGUCCUUGUGACGACCAAUGUCUCCUUUGCACCUUCAGCCCAUUUCCCUGCAGAAUGGCCAGGAAUUUCCUGCAGUGGUGUAAACCGCAUCCGUUGGGGUUUUUUUCUCCUUCUCUUUUCUGUCUCUGCAGAGAUGUCCAAGCUGCUUCACCUCCGGCAUUGCCAGGACUUUCAUGGCUUUGCCACCCUGUGCCCUUUUAAUAUCUGAAGACACAGAAGCUCUUCUCCAACCUGGCUCAUCCCAGGGCCGCCCAAAAUUCAUCCAGGAAGGCCUUUACGCAAGGCCCCGCCACCAGAGGGGGAUUUCAAUGCCUGUUACCCGCUUGGGAGCAUUUUGGGGUUUUUGAGAACUCGAGUGCCAAAAGCAACAGGUUCUUGAGCUAUUUUCAGCCCCAUCUAAACUCACAUAGUCCCUGGGGGGAGCAGCUCCCCGUGCCGCAGUGGGACCCUGCACUGGUGGCAGGGGAGCUGCUAAGAGCCGCUCGCUCUCGCAAGCGCAAUCGUGCCCUUCUUUGGAUUGAGUGAGUUGUUAUCACAUCCCUGACAGGUUCCCCGGGUUGAGAAUCCACCCCGACACCGAGAUAUGUUGGGAACAGGAGCAAACUAUAAACAGAGAUGAACCAAAAGCAAAUCUCUGAGAUGUGAAUUAAGAGGUUGGUUAAAACCCAAACUCGCUUUUUGCAAAGAGAUUUCUUCCCUGCGCUAAUUGAUUUACACCGCACUCACCCUUGAGCUCACAAGGACUAAAAUAUCUGCGUUCCUCUCCAAAAUGCAACGGCAUCUCUUUAUCAGGACUUGGUUUGGAGCUUGCUCUCUGUGUUGAUAACGCUGAGAGUGUGGCAUGCAGAGGGUGCCAGGAGAGGUGAGUCCUCAGUGUGCAACCACCCCAGCCUGCUAGACUUUAUACACACACACACAUUUGCAUACAUCCAUAAAUAUAUAAAUAUUUACAUAUAUGUAUAUGCAUCUGUAAUAAUUACAUAUGUAUAUGUGCAUGUAAUAAUUCUGCAUUAAAGCUCCUUUCGCCAAAGAAACCUGAGGAAGAUGCACGGCAGGCUGCAAAACUGAACCCAGUUCAGAAUGCUGUGUGAGAGACUGCAACACUCCAAACAAAAUGCAAGAUGUUACUUUAAAAGAAGCAGGCUUGGGCUUUUGAAUUUAUGUAACCUAAACUGAUUUUGUCUGUUUGAAAUUGUUGUUGCGUGUUGAGAAUCUCAAAGAGGCGAGGAGCUAAGCUGCAGACAUUUCCUUUGGAGUCCAAGAUUACAAGCCCCUUUACUUCUCGUUGCAGCUCCAAAGCUGUUAAUGGUUUGCUUCAUUUUAUUAACAGCAGACAAGAAAAAAAAAAAAUUCCUCCUCAGAGCAUGUGUGAGGUGACAAGUUGGAUAAUAACAGCUCCUUUGGAAGCUUUUAUAGUACAUUAGGCAAACAUAGUGAAUGUUUAUAGACUUUUAAAAAUGCUGAUUAUAUAAAAAUGCAUUUAUAGCCUUC